UGGUGGAGUGAUUUGUCUGGUUGACUCCGUUAGCGAACGAGAUCGACUCUUCAAUGACAGUUCGAUCGUAUUGUAGUUCAGUGCUCGGGGACGAUGCAAGCCAAUAGCA
rnacentral:rRNA from 1 species